rnacentral:sRNA from 1 species
UGUAAACAUUACUGUAAGAGUUGUGAUAACUUUUUAUUCUACUAUGUAUAUGUAUGGAAUAGUAUUAAUAAAUGAACUAGGGAAGGAUGUAAUAAAUUAGACAUCUCUUCAUUUUAGAGGGAAGAUGGAAACAACAUUGCUUUUCUUUUCUCAAAUAAAUAUGUGUGAAUCAAAAGAAAAAACUUUUUUCAAGUUAAUACAUGGUUCAGGAAAAGAAGAAACAAGCAAAGAAGCCAAAAUCAGAGCUAAGGAAAAAAGAAAUAGACUAAGUCUUCUUGUGCAGAAACCUGAGUUUCAUGAAGACACCCGCUCCAGUAGAUCUGGGCACUUGGCCAGAGAAACAAGAGUCUCCCCUGAAGAGGCAGUGAAAUGGGGUGAAUCAUUUGACAAACUGCUUUCCCAUAGAGAUAGAAAGACUGAACUGAGCAGGUGAUGCAGCUAGAUGGACUAGAGGCUUUUACCAGAUUUCUUAAAACUGAAUUCAGUGAGGAAAAUAUUGAAUUUUGGAUAGCCUGUGAAGAUUUCAAGAAAAGCAAGGGACCUCAACAAAUUCACCUUAAAGCAAAAGCAAUAUAUGAGAAAUUUAUACAGACUGAUGCUCCAAA